CGCGUAGGCGGUUUGUUAAGUCAGCUGUGAAAGCCCUGGGCUCAACCUGGGAACUGCAGUUGAUACUGGCCGACUAGAGUACGAGAGAGGGAGGUAGAAUUCCAUGUGUAGCGGUGAAAUGCGUAGAUAUAUGGAGGAAUACCAGUGGCGAAGGCGGCCUCCUGGCUCGAUACUGACGCUGAGGUGCGAAAGCGUGGGGAUCAAACAGGAUUAGAUACCCUGGUAGUCC
rnacentral:rRNA from 1 species